rnacentral:rRNA from 1 species
UCACUUUCAACAAUGGAUCUCUUGGCUCUCGCAUCGAUGAAGAACGCAGCGAAAUGCGAUAAGUAAUAUGAAUUGCAAAUUUCCGUGAAUCAUCGAAUUUUUGAACGCAAAUUGCACUCCUUGGUAUUCCGAGGAGUACACAUGCUUGAGGGUCAGU